AGAAAUUCCCGCACCCGGAGGCGUCCUUCAGCUGGCCCCUAAACAAAUAUAUACUAGUCCAGUGAUAAUGAACGCCAUACUAAUUUCCAAAUUGUACACAAGAAACUAAAAUUAAUACAAGACUAAAAUAAUACAAGACUAACAAAGGCCAGAGGCUCCUGACUUGGGACAGGCGCAAAAAUGCGGCGGGGUUAAACAUGUUUGUGAGAUCUCAACCCUCCCCCA
rnacentral:lncRNA from 1 species